rnacentral:rRNA from 1 species
AUUGAACGCUGGCGGCAGGCCUAACACAUGCAAGUCGAGCGGAUGACGGGAGCUUGCUCCUUGAUUCAGCGGCGGACGGGUGAGUAAUGCCUAGGAAUCUGCCUGGUAGUGGGGGGCAACGUUUCGAAAGGAACGCUAAUACCGCAUACGUCCUACGGGAGAAAGCAGGGGACCUUCGGGCCUUGCGCUAUCAGAUGAGCCUAGGUCGGAUUAGCUAGUUGGUGAGGUAAUGGCUCACCAAGGCGACGAUCCGUAACUGUUCCGAGAGGAUGCACAGUCACACUGAAACUGAGACACGGUCCAGACUCCUACGGGAGGCAGCAGUGGGGAAUAUUGGACAAUGGGCGAAAGACUGAUCCAGCCAUGCCGCGUGUGUGAAGAAGGUCUUCGGAUCGUAAAGCACUUUAAGUUGGGAGGAAGGGCAGUAAGUUAAUACCUUGCUGUUUUGACGUUACCGACAGAAUAAGCACCGGCUAACUCUGUGCCAGCCGCCGCCGUAGUAA